UACAGAGGUCCCGAGCGUUGUUCGGAUUUAUUGGGCGUAAAGAGCUCGUAGGCGGUGUGUCACGUCGGCCGUGAAAACCUGCAGCUUAACUGUGGGCGUGCGGUCGAUACGGGCAUCACUGGAGUUCGGCAGGGGAGACUGGAAUUCCUGGUGUAGCGGUGAAAUGCGCAGAUAUCAGGAGGAACACCGGUGGCGAAGGCGGGUCUCUGGGCAACAACUGACGCUGGAGGAGCGAAAGCGUGGGGAGCGAACAGG
rnacentral:rRNA from 1 species